rnacentral:rRNA from 1 species
CACGAAGCUGGAAUCGCUAGUAAUCGCGGAUCAGAAUGCCGCGGUGAAUACGUUCCCGGGUCUUGUACACACCGCCCGUCACACCAUGGGAGCCGGGAAUGCCCGAAGUCUGUGGCCCAACCGAGAGGGGGAGCAGCCGAAGGCAGGCCUGGUGACUGGGGUGAAGUCGUAACAAGGUAGC